rnacentral:lncRNA from 1 species
CAAAAAUAUGAUUAGUUCAGUGGAUUUUUACAGGCAAACACUGCAACCAGGUCAAGAAAAAGAAUAUUGAUGCAAUCCAGAAGCUCCCUUGGACCGCCUGCCAAUCAUCACCCUGUCUCUUAUUCUCAAAGACAACAUCUGUUUUGACUCAUGAUGGUUUAGUUCAUCUAUGCCUGCUAAAUUUCAUUUGAGACUAUUACGAAGAAUGCCGUUUGGAGUAUUCUUGUACGUGCCUCUUGGUGCACAUCUACAUACUCUUCUGUGGUAUAUAUCCAGGAGGGGUAUUGUUGGGAAGAAGAAAAAAAGCAGUUUGGUGAAAUUAAAGAAUGUGAACUUUGAAUUCAGCCUAUAAUUUGAAUCUUGGCAUCAAUAUUCCUCUGAUUGAUGACUUUGGGAAGGCUGAUGGCCAUUUAUCUUGUGUCUUCAUGAGCAAAGAAGAACAUAAAAUUGAGAAGAUAUCCCAAGAUGCCAUUAUUUAUAGACAUUCUUAAUAAUUCAACUCUGUAAUUAUGCUACUUCCCUACAAUUUUUGUAUGUUUAUUUUAUGUCCUUCUA